rnacentral:lncRNA from 1 species
GUGGCAAAAGUAUUAGCUUCUUAGGCUAGAGAAUAGAGGCUCAGAAAAAUUGUGUUUUCACUAUGACCAAAAAUCCGGAAAUCUGGCAAUUGUAGUUUCUUGCUGUGAAUGUUUAUUAUUAUGAAUCAUGAUCUUUGUCAUUGGAGCAUGUGUGCCAAACAGGUUCAUCCAACUCAAAUUUCAUUUCAAUGUUAUUCAGCAAUUUUAGAUUUAUACAUUUGUCAAUUAAGAAUGCAUAACAUUUGGUGCCAUUCUACAUAGUUAAAAAUAGUUUCCUCUCUACCUCUUGUAAAAUAGGCAGGAUAGGCCUAAGUCAGGAGCCUGUAAUUCAGUGGUUGUCGUUUGUUGCUAUAUAUCAUAUGUUUUUUGUUCAUUAUUUUGUACAUAAAUCAGGCUAUUUACUUUCUUGUUUGAAUUGUUUUACAUUUGUAAUUUCUGGUCCUUUUAUAGCUGACUAUGUGGUGUGGGUUUUGCUCAUUGUUCAUUUGGUAAUAUGGUGACAUAUAGUUA